CACCGACCGAGAGAGACAGAAAAGGAGGCGGUCGAGGGAAUCUGAGAAGGCGCACAAGGUUUGUGUCCAAUACGCUCCACACCUUGCGCUACUCAGGUCUGCUCGUGCCCUCCCAUGGUAUCAGCUCUCCUGCGAUGUGGGGA
ensembl:miRNA eca-mir-3200 eca-mir-3200